GACGAACGCUGGCGGCGUGCUUAACACAUGCAAGUCGAACGGAAAGGCCCUGCUUUUGUGGGGUGCUCGAGUGGCGAACGGGUGAGUAACACGUGAGUAACCUGCCCUUGACUUUGGGAUAACUUCAGGAAACUGGGGCUAAUACCGGAUAGGAGCUCCUGCUGCAUGGUGGGGGUUGGAAAGGUUCGGCGGUUGGGGAUGGACUCGCGGCUUAUCAGCUUGUUGGUGGGGUAGUGGCUUACCAAGGCUUUGACGGGUAGCCGGCCUGAGAGGGUGACCGGCCACAUUGGGACUGAGAUACGGCCCAGACUCCUACGGGAGGGAGCAGUGGGGAAUAUUGCACAAUGGGCGGAAGCCUGAUGCAGCAACGCCGCGUGCGGGAUGACGGCCUUCGGGUUGUAAACCGCUUUCGCCUGUGACGAAGCGUGAGUGACGGUAAUGGGUAAAGAAGCACCGGCUAACUACGUG
rnacentral:rRNA from 1 species